GCUGGGGUUUCUAAGGAGUAGGGGGCUCGCAGGAUAUUGGGGCACAGGAGGCUGCUGUUCAGGAAGUGGGGCAAACUCGGGGCAGUUGGCUGCAGGAACACAGGAGAGAGAAGGAAGUUAGAGGGAGCCUUGUGGCCUCUCUUUGCGGGGAUGAGAACCACUGCCCAUCCUGGGAACUCCUUCCUGACUGAAAUCCAGCAAGGUGAGGAAGGAGAGAAAAGAUGCCUGCCUGGCUGACUACUCAACACUGCAGCAAUGGCCCUGGGGACCAAAAGGCAGAGUUUCUGCAGCUCAACCAGACUGAGCUGUGACUAUCAUGUGAUGUGUGUGACACCUGGGAGCCCUGAUGAGAUUCUGCAACUAGUAGGAUCUGGGGACAGAACUACUUGCCACUUCCACAGAAAUAAAAUCUUCCCAAUCCCAAAGGGAAUAAAAAUCCAGAGAGACUUCACCUGUCGGCGGAAGUCAUUCAAGUCCUCCAGUUUUUUACGAUACACUUCAACUGUUGACUCCAGUUUACUUGCCUUAUCUGCAAAAGUUCUACAAGAAUAAAUACGAAUUAUGAAAACAGUAAGAUGUAUUUUUCACACAAACAAACUGCAACCAGGCAAAUCAGUCCCUCAGAGUCACAUUGGCCGUCUCCUACUUCAUUUCAACACCAUAUACAUUAUGAUGAAACCAUGGCGCACCACUGGACGAUGAAAUGAACAAAUACGCAUUGUGUAAUUUCAAAAAUAUGGACACCUAUUUUACAAAAUAUACUUUCCAUUAGUACAUACUAAUUACUUUAGUUACCAUUUGUACAUUCAUGCUCAACUAUACAUACCUUUUAAUAACUACUCCUGGUUAUGACAUGCAAAGAGGAUAGACCAACCAGAUUUGUGUGAACUACCAUCAAGUUAACUACUCCAAACAGAAGUCUAUAACAGCUGUGUGGUAGUUCUGACUUCUCAAAAUGAUGCAUGAUAGGUAUCAUAGCACAACCAGAAAUGGCAAUUUGGGACUGAAACAGAAAUGGCUGGCAUAAAGUUACAUGCUAAAAAUAUUUCCUCAGCUUUGCUAUUUGGUAAAUGUAUGAUUGUGCUGAAUUUAAGUGGGUGCAAUUACCAGAAAUCAUUUACCAUACCACCUCUGCAAAAGCAAGUUGAUCAAAUUUUGAAUAUUGAGCAAAACACAUUUUCAGGGUGAGGCCUCUUAUAUCAAGUUUCAGAAUUACAGACCCCUGAAAGUUUGGUUUUAGAAAGAAACUGCAGGUGGAAUCUUAAACAACAGAAAGAGAAUGGGAACACUAUCACGCAGGGGAGAAGGAUUACCUCACCUCAGCUCGACGUUACUAAUUUGUGAGUUGAAGUUAAUACCACCAUAUAGAAAACUUAAAAUAUGCCCCAUACUGAAACUCUGCAAACAAGUGAGAAAAAAAAGUUACUUGAUUACAGACUUUCUUCAUCUGCUUCCUACUGAAAAUGGCUUUAUUUCAUCUUCAAUGAAUGCAAUCAUUCCAUUAUAAUGAAUUGGUUCUUAAUAUAUUUUUAAAAGGGCUAAAGCUAUUGUUAGCUGAAAAUAAACUAUGGAACAUUUUAAUAAUAAUUUUUACUAUUCAUAGCUACAUCAUUGCAACGACUGCUUACUAACUGCAAGAUAUCAAGUUAUUACACCAAGAAAUCUUUCCUACUAUGGGUUAGCAAUAUAUUUUCCAAUAGUCACAGGGGAGCUGAGCAUGGAUUUACAUUAAAGGAUAGUAUUUCCAACAAUCGCAUGUAUGAAGCAUUUGAGAGUGUGGAAAUUUUGUUUCAGUACAAACUGAAAAAACAAAACAUUUAUAGGUGAAAUUUAACCUCUAAAGACAUUGCAUUUUACAACUGUUUAACAGAGCUUGUAUUUCUUAAUGUCACAUAUUUGAAAAAGUAAGUGUGUAUUUCCUCACCUGCAGGUCUAGUUCUUGACAUCUUUGCUUCAGUUCUUCUUUUUCUGCUAGUGCUUCCUGAAGGUCUUCCAAGGCUCUUUUCAUCUUAAAAAAAAAAAUAAAAUAAAAAAAAUGUAAUGCAAGUUAGAUGUAUUGAAAUUAAGAUUAUUUUAUAUGCUCCCUAUCUGUACAAGGAGGGACAUGUAAGAUAGACAUGACAGAGAGAGAGUAUGGCACAUCUAUACCGCAAAAACAGACAGAAAAAACUGCAGAACCAGGUUCUGAGAUUUGCUGCCACCGAAGUGUUUGUUUUCGUUUGCUUGCUUUUUUUUUUUUUCCCCUUUCUUCUUUUUCUUUCCAGUGUAGACGUACUCAAAGUGACUUGCUUGCCUAAGGUCAGAGAGAAUCUGCAGCAGGGCAGAGAACUGAACCCGAGACUCCAGCAUACAAGACAAGCAUCCAGUCUACUGACCAUCCUUCCUCGGAUAGCAAUAGGAAGGUCAAUGUCAUCAUAGGGGAAACAUCUGAGCUCUUUCUUGGGGAGUGCUUUUAAAUAAAUGAUAAUUAUACUUGAAGAACAGAACUCUGGGUUUGGGAUCACACAGAACUCAAAUAUUUUCCAGGAUCUCUCUGCAGUAUCUGUACUCAUCUGCACUUUCUAACCUAAAUGGAGGUUGAUAGCAGCCUUACUCUUUGCUCUUCCUGUCAUAUCCUCCCACAGUCUCUACUCAGGCAACAGAGAUGAUAAGAUCAGCCAUUAUCAUGAAAGAUAAGCGUUAAAUUUACUCUAACUUCCUAGGGUAGCAACAGCAUGUUGCUCUGCCUUUUGUGAAAUAGAAGUCUAGGCAUUGAUUUUGGUAAGCUGGUCUGAAAGAAACAACCACUGGCUGUAUAAAGCAAGAAGCAAGUUAAUUUGUACAGAUGAAGGACUGAAACUUCUUUCUUUGGAGAUGAUGGGAGAGGCACCUUUGUGUCUACUUUCUGAAUUUUCAAGCAUGAUGUGAAUAAAUUUUUGAAACUCUUAA